CGCGGGAUUCCCGCCGCGCGCGGCGGGGGCGCGGGCACGGGGGGACGGGGCGCAGCAGGCGCGAAACCUCCUCAAUGCACUAACGUGCGAAGGGGCUACCUCGAGUGCUACCUGAAGAAGGUGGCUUUUCCUUGGUCUAAAUAGCCUUGGGAAUAAGAGGGGGGCAAGACUGGUGUCAGCCGCCGCGGUAACACCAGCCCCUCGAGUGGUGGGGAUGAUUAUUUGGCCUAAAGCGUCCGUAGCCGGCCAGAUAAGUUUCCCGUUAAAUCUGGCGUCUCAAGCGUUAGACUGCGGGAAAUACUGUCUGGCUAGAGAGUGGGAGAGGUCAGCGGUAUUCUGGGGGUAGGGGCGAAAUCCUUUGAUCCCCGGAGGACCACCAGUGGCGAAGGCUGCUGACUAGAACACGUCUGACGGUCAGGGACGAAAGCUGGGGUAGCGAACCGGAUUAGAUACCCGGGUAGUCCCAGCUGUAAACGAUGCAUGCUNAGGUGUUGGGUUGGCCACGAGCCACCCCAGUGCCGCAGGGAAGCCGUUAAGCAUGCCGCCUGGGAAGUACGAUUGCAAGAUUGAAAACUUAAAGGAAUGGCGGGGGGAGCACCACCAGGCGUGGAGCCUGGCGGUUUAAUGGGAGUCAACGCCGGGACCCUUNCCGGAAGCGACAGCAGCGUGAAGGCCAGAUUGAAGAUCUUGCCAGACGAGCUGAGAGGAGGUGCAUGGCCGUCGCCAGUUCGUGCCGUGAGGUGUUCUCUUAAGUGAGAUAACGAACGAGACCCGUGCCACAUGUUGCCAUCAGAAUCUAAAGGAUUGCUGGGCACUCUUGUGGGACCGCAGCCGAUAAGGCUGAGGAAGGGGCGGGCAACGGCAGGUCAGUAUGCCCCGAAUCUUCCGGGCCACACGCGGGCUGCAAUGGUAUGGACAGAGGGCUGCCACCCCGAGAGGGGGAGCCAAUCCCUAAACCAUACCUCAGUUGGGAUUGAGGGCUGCAACCCGCCCUCAUGAACAUGGAAUGCCUAGUAACCGCGCGUCAUCAUCGCGCGGUGAAUACGUCCCUGCUCCUUGCACGAAUUCGCCGAAGCAAUAGU
rnacentral:rRNA from 1 species